UACGAACUGUGCGAACGUUAUUCGGAAUCACUGGGCUUACAGGGUGCGUAGGCGGCGAGGCAAGUCAGGUGUGAAAUCCCACGGCUCAACCGUGGAACUGCGCUUGAAACUGCCUUGCUGGAGUGAGCUAGAGGUAGACGGAACUUCCGGUGGAGCGGUGAAAUGUGUUGAUAUCGGAAGGAACACCAGAGGCGAAGGCGGUCUACUGGAGCUUGUCUGACGCUGAGGCACGAAAGCCAGGGGAGCAAACGGG
rnacentral:rRNA from 1 species